rnacentral:rRNA from 1 species
UGCGGAAGGAUCAUUACCGAGUUUUCGAGCUCCGGCUCGACUCUCCCACCCUUUGUGAACGUACCUCUGUUGCUUUGGCGGCUCCGGCCGCCAAAGGACCUUCAAACUCCAGUCAGUAAACGCAGACGUCUGAUAAACAAGUUAAUAAACUAAAACUUUCAACAACGGAUCUCUUGGUUCUGGCAUCGAUGAAGAACGCAGCGAAAUGCGAUAAGUAAUGUGAAUUGCAGAAUUCAGUGAAUCAUCGAAUCUUUGAACGCACAUUGCGCCCCUUGGUAUUCCGGGGGGCAUGCCUGUUCGAGCGUCAUUACAACCCUCAAGCUCUGCUUGGAAUUGGGCACCGUCCUCACUGCGGACGCGCCUCAAAGACCUCGGCGGUGGCUGUUCAGCCCUCAAGCGUAGUAGAAUACACCUCGCUUUGGAGCGGUUGGCGUCGCCCGCCGGACGAACCUUCUGAACUUUUCUCAAGGUUGACCUCGGAUCAGGUAGGGAUACCCGCUGAACUUAAGCA